rnacentral:rRNA from 1 species
CAAUAGCGUAUAUUAAAGUUGUUGCAGUUAAAAAGCUCGUAGUUGGAUUUGUGGCGUACGGUGUGUUCCGGGCACUUGUUGUCUGAGUAACCUGCUGUUGCCAUUCUUGGGUGGAACCUGUGUGGCAUUAGGUUGUCGUGCAGGGGAUGCCCAUCAUUUACUGUGAAAAAAUUAGAGUGUUCAAAGCAGGCUUAUGCCGUUGAAUAUAUUAGCAUGGAAUAAUGAGAUAGGACUUUUUUGCUAUUUUGUUGGUUUGCGCAAGAAGGUAAUGAUUAAUAGGGACAGUUGGGGGUAUUCGUAUUCCAUUGUCAGAGGUGAAAUUCUUGGAUUUUUGGAAGACGAACUACUGCGAAAGCAUUUACCAAGGAUGUUUUCAUUAA